GGAUAACGGCUGGAGACGGCCGCUAAUACCCCAUAUGCCGAGAGGUGAAAUGAAUUUCGCCUGAGGAUGGGCCCGCGUCUGAUUAGCUAGUUGGUGGGGUAAAGGCCUACCAAGGCGACGAUCAGUAGCUGGUCUGAGAGGAUGAUCAGCCACACUGGGACUGAGACACGGCCCAGACUCCUACGGGAGGCAGCAGUGGGGAAUUUUCCGCAAUGGGCGAAAGCCUGACGGAGCAACGCCGCGUGAGGGAUGAAGGCCUCUGGGCUGUAAACCUCUUUUCUCAAGGAAGAAGACCUGACGGUACUUGAGGAAUAAGCCACGGCUAAUUCCGUGCCAGCAGCCGCGGUAAUACGGGAGUGGCAAGCGUUAUCCGGAAUUAUUGGGCGUAAAGCGUCCGCAGGUGGCCCUGUAAGUCUGUCGUUAAAGCGUGGAGCUUAACUCCAUUUAAGCGAUGGAAACUACAGGGCUAGAGUGUGGUAGGGGCAGAGGGAAUUCCCGUGUAGCGGUGAAAUGCGUAGAUAUCGGGAAGAACACCAGUGGCGAAGGCGCUCUGCUGGGCCAUCACUGACACUCAUGGACGAAAGCCAGGGGAGCGAAAGGGAUUAGAUACCCCUGUAGUCCUGGCCGUAAACGAUGAACACUAGGUGUCGGGGGAAUCGACCCCCUCGGUGUCGUAGCCAACGCGUUAAGUGUUCCGCCUGGGGAGUACGCACGCAAGUGUGAAACUCAAAGGAAUUGACGGGGGCCCGCACAAGCGGUGGAGUAUGUGGUUUAAUUCGAUGCAACGCGGAGAACCUUACCAGGGUUUGACAUCCUGCGAAUCCCUUGGAAACGAGGGAGUGCCUUCGGGAGCGCAGAGACAGGUGGUGCAUGGCUGUCGUCAGCUCGUGUCGUGAGAUGUUGGGUUAAGUCCCGCAACGAGUGCAACCCACGUCGUUAGUUGCCAGCAUUCAGUUGGGCACUCUAGCGAGACCGCCGGUGAUAAACCGGAGGAAGGUGUGGAUGACGUCAAGUCAUCAUGCCCCUUACAUCCUGGGCUACACACGUACUACAAUGCUACGGACAAAGGGCAGCAAACUCGCGAGAGCUAGCAAAUCCCAUAAACCGUGGCUCAGUUCAGAUCGUAGGCUGCAACUCGCCUACGUGAAGGAGGAAUCGCUAGUAAUCGCAGGUCAGCAUACUGCGGUGAAUACGUUCCCGGGCCUUGUACACACCGCCCGUCACACCAUGGAAGUUGGCCACGCCCGAAGUCGUUACUCCAACCCUUGUGGAGGAGGACGCCGAAGGUGGGGGCUGAUGACUGGGGUGAAGUCGUAACAAGGUA
rnacentral:rRNA from 1 species